CCUACGGGAGGCAGCAGUGGGGAAUCUUGCGCAAUGGGCGAAAGCCUGACGCAGCAACGCCGCGUGCGGGAAGAAGGCUUUCGGGCUGUAAACCGCUUUCAGCAGGAACGAAAAUGACGGUACCUGCAGAAGAAGGAGCGGCCAACUAUGUGCCAGCAGCCGCGGUGAUACAUAGGCUUCAAGCGUUGUCCGGAUUUAUUGGGCGUAAAGAGUUCGUAGGCGGUCAAGUAAGUCGGGUGUGAAAAUUCUGGGCUCAACCCAGAGACGCCACCCGAUACUGCUUAACUUGAGUUCGAUAGGGGAGUGGGGAAUUCCUAGUGUAGCGGUGAAAUGCGCAGAUAUUAGGAGGAACACCGGUGGCGAAGGCGCCACUCUGGAUCGAUACUGACGCUGAGGACGAAAGCAUGGUAGCAAACAGGAUUAGAUACCCUGGUAGUCCAUGCCGUAAAACGGUGGGCACUAGGUNUGGGUUUCCUAUUAACGAAAUCCGNGCCGUCGCUAACGCAUAGUGCCGCCGUGGAGUACGGUCGCGAGACGUAAACGUUAAACGUAAGUAGACGGCGUGAGACGUGCCGACGGACGACGACGAGGGAGUAGG
rnacentral:rRNA from 1 species